UGUUAAUAUAAUGAGGUGGACCCGAGUAUGACGGUGGUGAUGGAGUUGGUGAGGGGGAACUUUUCGGGGGAGAUUUAUAGACGUAAGGUGAUGGUGAAGGUGAGGGAGAUGGUUGUUCUUUGGAUGGAGAUGGGGGAGAUUUGUAGACGUAAGGCGAUGGAGGAGAUUCAGUUGGGGGUGUUGAUGGUGAACUUGAUGGAGGGGGUUUGUAGGUGAAGGGCGAUGGAGGAGUUUCGGGGGAAGAUGAUGUUGGAGGAGGUGUUAGGCAUGCAUUGAUCGGAGGUGAUGGUGGAGGAGGAGGUGUUAGGCAUGCAUUGAUCGGAGGUGAUGGUGAUGGUGAAGUUGAUGGCGGAGACUUAUAGACGUAAGGAGAUGGAGGAGAUUCUUUUGGUGCCGGAGAUGGAGAUGGUGGAGAUUUAUAUACAAAAGGUGAUGGAGGAGAUUCUUUUGGUUUUGGAGAUGGAGAGGGGGAGGAUGAUGGUGGAGAUUUGUAGACAAAAGGAGAUGGAGGGGAUUCUUUAGGAGUUGAAGGAGAAGAGGGUGGUGGUGGGGGACAAGUGUUGAUAUAGUGAGGUGGAGCUUCAUGUGAAGGUGUUGAUGGACUUGGUGAUGGAGAGGAUGAUGGUGGAGAUUUGUAGACAAAAGGGGCAGGACCAGAUUCAGUUGGUGGAGGUGGUGAGACAUACACGUAUUUUUUAGGUGGUGGAGGUGGUGAGACAUACACGUAAGGAGCUUUUUUAGGUGGUGGUGGUGUAGAUGCAACCAGGGGUGCUGGUGGAAUUUCCUUAACUGGUGGAGGUGGGGAGAGAAAGAGGUGAGGUGGAGGCGGGGAAGGUGAAGGUGGAGGCGGGGAAGGUGGUGGUGAAGGCGGGGGAGGUGAGGGUGGAGGUGGCGAAGGUGGUGGUGAAGGCGGGGGAGGUGAGGGUGGAGGAGGCGAAGGUGGUGGUGAAGGCGGGGGAGGUGAGGGCGGAGGAGGUGAAGGUGGUGGAGAAGGCGGUGGAGGUGAAGGUGGAGGAGGCGAAUGUGGUGGUGACGGUGGUGGAGGUGAAGGAGGGGGCGGCGAAUGCACUGGCGGUGGUGGAGAGGGAGUCGAUGGUGGUGGCGGAGAGGUAUAAGUAUACGGCGGAGGGGAGGCCGGUGGUGGUGGAGAAACAUAACUAUAAGCUGGCCUCCCUUCCACCGCAAAACUACUCAAG
rnacentral:lncRNA from 1 species